GAUGAAGAACGUAGCGAAAUGCGAUAAGUAGUGUGAAUUGCAGAAUUCAGUGAAUCAUCGAAUCUUUGAACGCACAUUGCGCCCUUUGGUAUUCCAAAGGGCAUGCCUGUUCGAGCGUCAUUUGUACCCUCAAGCUUUGCUUGGUGUUGGGCGUCUUGUCUCUAGCUUUGCUGGAGACUCGCCUUAAAGUAAUUGGCAGCCGGCCUACUGGUUUCGGAGCGCAGCACAAGUCGCACUCUCUAUCAUCAAAGGUCUAGCAUCCAUUAAGCCUUUUUUUCAACUUUUGACCUCGGAUCAGGUAGGGAUACCCGCUGAACUUAAGCAUAUCAAUAAGCGGAGGA
rnacentral:misc_RNA from 1 species